CUUACGGGAGGCAGGCAAGUAGGGAUUCUUUCCGCAAUGGACGAAAGUCUGACGGAGCAACGCCGCGUGAUGGAUGAAGGUUUUCGGAUCGUAAAGCUCUGUUGCCAGGGAAGAAUGCUUGAGAGAGUAACUGCUCUCCAAGUGACGGUACCUGAGAAGAAAGCCCCGGCUAACUACGUGCCAGCAGCCGCGGUAAUACGAAGGGGGCGAGCGUUGUUCGGAUUUACUGGGCGUAAAGGGCGCGCAGGCGGCUCUGAAAGUCAGAUGUGAAAGCCCCGGGCUUAACCUGGGAAUUGCAUUUGAUACUCUGGAGCUCCGAGUGUGGGAGAGGAUAGUGGAAUUCCCAGUGUAGAGGUGAAAUUCGUAGAUAUUGGGAAGAACACCGGUGGCGAAGGCGGCUAUCUGGACCACAACUGACGCUGAGGCGCGAAAGCGUGGGGAGCAAACAGGAUUAGAUACCCUGGUAGUCCACGCCGUAAACGAUGUGCGCUAGGACGUNUGGAGCNGUGUCUUAGUCCUUUCAGUGUNGCCGAUCAGCCUAACAGGUCGGAUAAGCGCAUCGUCGCCUUGGUGAGUACGGUCGUAAGCUUACCAACUCAAAGCUAAUUGACGGGGGCCCGCACAAGCGGUGGAGCAUGUGGUUUAAUUCGAAGCUACGCGAUUGAACCUUACCAGCUCUUGACAUCCCUCUGAUUUGGUGCAGUGAUGUACCAAUUCGCGUAUCGGGGUAGAUUAGACAGUUGGUUUCCGAAUGGUUGUCGUCAGCUCGUGUACAGUGCAGGUGUACCUGCGUGUUACUCACCCG
rnacentral:rRNA from 1 species